rnacentral:rRNA from 1 species
GGUCAAGUUAUUAAGGGUGCAGGGCGGAUGCCUUGGCACUAGGAGCCGAUGAAGGACGUGAUAAGCUGCGAUAAGCUUCGGGGAGUUGCACGUAAACUUUGAUCCGAAGAUUUCCGAAUGAGGAAACUCACUUAGAGUAAUGUCUAAGUAUCAUUAAGUGAAUACAUAGCUUAAUGAGGGGAACUCAGGGAACUGAAACAUCUAAGUACCUGAAGGAAGAGAAAGAAAUUCGAUUCCGUAAGUAGCGGCGAGCGAACGCGGAUUAGCCCAAACCAAUAAAGUUUUCUUUAUUGGGGUUGCGGACAUAUCAUAACGAAGAGGUAUCGUAAUUGAAGAGGUUUGGAAAGACCCACCACAGAAGGUAAUAGUCCUGUAUGUUAAACGAGAAGACUUCAGAUAUGAUCCAGAGUACCACGGGACACGUGAAACCCUGUGGGAAGCAGGAGGGACCACCCUCCAAGGCUAAAUACUACCUAGUGACCGAUAGCGUAUAGUACCGUGAGGGAAAGGUGAAAAGAACCCCGGGAGGGGAGUGAAAUAGAACCUGAAACCCUGCACUUACAAGCUGUGGAAGCACAUUUCUUGUGUGACCGCGUACUUUUUGUAGAACGGGCCAACGAGUUACGUUAAGUAGCAAGGUUAAGCACUUAAGGUGCGGAGCCGUAGCGAAAGCGAGUUUUAACUGAGCGUUCAGUUACUUGACGUAGACCCGAAACCGGGCGACCUACCCAUGAGCAGGAUGAAGCGAAAGUAAAAUUUCGUGGAGGUCCGAACCCACGAGCGUUGAAAAGCUCGGGGAUGACUUGUGGGUAGCGGUGAAAUUCCAAUCGAGCCCGGAGAUAGCUGGUUCUCCCCGAAAUAGCUUUAGGGCUAGCCUCAAGGUGAGAGAUACGGAGGUAGAGCACUGAAUGUCCUAGGGGGUAUUGCACCUACCGAAGACUAUCAAACUCCGAAUGCCGUCAUCUUAUACUUGGGAGUCAGACUGUGGGUGAUAAGAUUCAUAGUCGAAAGGGCAACAGCCCAGAUCGUCAGCUAAGGUCCCUAAAUGUAAGUUAAGUGGUAAAGGAUGUGGGAUUGCACAGACAACCAGGAUGUUGGCUUAGAAGCAGCCACUCAUUCAAAGAGUGCGUAAUAGCUCACUGGUCGAGUGAUCCUGCGCCGAAGAUUUCCGGGGCUAAAACUUACUACCGAAGCUACGGCAUCAUUAUGAUGGGUAGGGGAGCUUCCCAUACGGGUUGAAGCAUGACCGUAAGGACAUGUGGACAGUAUGGGAGUGAGAAUGUUGGCAUGAGUAGCGAGAUGUGGGUGAGAAUCCCACAGGCCGUAAACCCAAGGUUUCCAGGGGAAGGUUCGUCCGCCCUGGGUUAGUCGGGACCUAAGCUGAGGCCGAAAGGCGUAGGUGAUGGACAACAGGUUGAUAUUCCUGUACUACCGAUAACCGUUUGAGAGAAGGGAUGACACAGUAGGAUAAGCUAAGCACACUGUUGGUUAUGUGUGCCCAAGCAUUGAGGCAGUCAAAG